UAGUCGAGGACUCGAGAAGACUGAAGAGAACUCAUUUCCUUUUUCUUUUUUUCUUCUCUUCUCACUUCUCACUUCUCAGUCUCGCUCCCGCCUCUCCAAUGAUGUUAAUCAAUAAUCAAUCACUCAAUCACAAUCAGCUCCAACCUCUUGUGAACUGAAUAAAGGAUAUAGGACAAAGCUACAGCAAAACUCCUACUCAGGGUGCUGGUAAAUCAGCUGUGCUAAAUAGUUUAAUUGGGCAUCUUGUUCUGAUAUGGAAAUCGAAGAAGAAUGAAGACAAGAGAGUCAGAGACGGGAGAGGAGAGUGACAGAUACUUAUCAUACUUAGUGUUUCCAAGUUUCUUACUUUCUUUAGCAUUUGCUUGUGUUUAUUUUCAUGUAUGUGUGAGUAAGAGACUUACUUAGAGACAUAACUACCGAUAUGGAUGGUAUGUAUGAAAAAUGGAACUUAAAUUUCACGUGUGCAUAUGUUUUACAUAUUA